rnacentral:rRNA from 1 species
AGAGUUUGAUCAUGGCUCAGGAUGAACGCUAGCGGCAGGCCUAAUACAUGCAAGUCGAGCGGAGUAGCAAUACUUAGCGGCGGACGGGUGCGUAACACGUAUGUAAUCUGCCUACUACUGGGGGAUAGCCUGUGGAAACACGGAUUAAUACCCCAUAACACCUUUUGAAGGCAUCUUUAGAAGGUUAAAGCUCAGGCGGUAGUAGAAGAACAUGCGUCUGAUUAGCUAGUUGGCGGGGUAACGGCCCACCAAGGCGACGAUCAGUAGCUGGUCUGAGAGGAUGAUCAGCCACACGGGCACUGAGACACGGGCCCGACUCCUACGGGAGGCAGCAGUAGGGAAUAUUGGUCAAUGGACGCAAGUCUGAACCAGCCAUGCCGCGUGCAGGAAGAAGGCGCUCAGCGUUGUAAACUGCUUUAGAUGGGGAGCAAAAAGCUCAUGCGUGAGCCAUUGAGAGUACCCAUAGAAUAAGCACCGGCUAACUCCGUGCCAGCAGCCGCGGUAAUACGGAGGGUGCAAGCGUUGUCCGGAUUUACUGGGUUUAAAGGGUGCGUAGGCGGACUAAUAAGUCAGUGCUUAAAGCCCGCAGCUUAACUGCGGAAACGGCAUUGAUACUGUCAGUCUUGAGUAAAGACGAGGUAUGAGGAAUUUGUGAAGUAGCGGUGAAAUGCUCUGAUAUCACAAGGAACAUCAAUAGCGAAGGCAACAUACUAGACUUUAACUGACGCUGAGGCACGAAAGCGUGGGGAGCAAACAGGAUUAGAUACCCCGGUAGU